CUACAGGAUCGCAUAAAAUAUAAAAUACAGUUAAAUGGUACUCGGGAAGUAGUUGACAACACAGAUGGGUUCCCACCACUUCCUGAUGGAGAGGACACCCAGGGAAAAAACAAAAAAUGAAAGACAACACGUCAGAGGGCUUAACUCAUUACAUACAAAUACAUGUUGAUCCCUAAUGGAGAAGUACCGCCAUCAGGAUGU